rnacentral:rRNA from 1 species
UACGAAGGGGGCUAGCGUUGCUCGGAAUCACUGGGCGUAAAGGGUGCGUAGGCGGGUUCUUAAGUCAGAGGUAAAAUCCUGGAGCUCAACUCCAGAACUGCCUUUGAUACUGAGAGUCUUGAGUUCGGGAGAGGUGAGUGGAACUGCGAGUGUAGAGGUGAAAUUCGUAGAUAUUCGCAAGAACACCAGUGGCGAAGGCGGCUCACUGGCCCGAUACUGACGCUGAAGCACGAAAGCGUGGGGAGCAAACAGG